rnacentral:misc_RNA from 1 species
AACUUGUUGCAAUGUAUCUCUUGGUUCUGGCGUCGAUGAAGAACGCAGCGAAAUGCGAUAAGUAAUGUGAAUUGCAGAAUUCAGUGAAUCAUCGAAUCUUUGAACGCACAUUGCGCCCCUUGGUAUUCCGGGGGGCAUGCCUGUUCGAGCGUCAUUACAACCCUCAAGCUCUGCUUGGUCUUGGGCGUCACCGGUCCCCGGUGUGCCUUAAAAUCAGUGGCGGCGCCAUCUGGCUCUAAGCGUAGUACAUACUCUCGCUACAGACGUCCGGUGGAUGCUGGCCAGCAACCCCCAAUUUAUCAAGGUUGACCUCGGAUCAGGUAGGGAUACCCGCUGAACUUAAGCAUAUCAAUAAGCGGAGGCU